UCCCCGAUAGCUCAGUAGGUAGAGCAAAUGACUGUUAAUCAUUGGGUCCCUGGUUCGAGCCCAGGUCGGGGAGCCA
rnacentral:tRNA from 1 species